GAUGAACGCUAGCGGCAGGCUUAAUACAUGCAAGUCGAGGGGCAGCAUGAUUGUAGCAAUACAAUUGAUGGCGACCGGCAAGCGGGUGCGGAACACGUACACAACCUUCCAACAAGUGGGGGAUAGCCCAGAGAAAUUUGGAUUAAUACCCCGUAACAUAGCGAUGUGGCAUCACAUUGCUAUUAUAGAUUUUUCGCUUGUUGAUGGGUGUGCGGCUGAUUAGAUAGUUGGCGGGGUAACGGCCCACCAAGUCUACGAUCAGUAGCUGAUGUGAGAGCAUGAUCAGCCACACGGGCACUGAGACACGGGCCCGACUCCUACGGGAGGCAGUAGUAAGGAAUAUUGGACAAUGGACGCAAGUCUGAUCCAGCCAUGCCGCGUGAAGGAUUAAGGUCCUCUGGAUUGUAAACUUCUUUUAUAAGGGACGAAAAAAGGCUUUUCUAAGUCGUCUGACGGUACCUUAUGAAUAAGCACCGGCUAACUCCGUGCCAGCAGCCGCAGUAAGAC
rnacentral:rRNA from 1 species